CCUACGGGGUGCAGCAGUGGGGAAUAUUGGGCAAUGGGCGCCAGCCUGACCCAGCAACGCCGCGUGAAGGCAGAAGGCUUUCGGGUUGUACACUUCUUUUAAGAGGGAAGAGCAGAAGACGGUACCUCUUGAAUAAGCCACGGCUAACUACGUGCCAGCAGCCGCGGUAAUACGUAGGUGGCAAGCGUUGUCCGGAUUUACUGGGUGUAAAGGGCGUGUAGCCGGGCUGACAAGUCAGAUGUGAAAUUCCGGGGCUCAACCCCGGACCUGCAUUUGAAACUGUUGGUAGUGAGUAUCGGAGAGGCAGGCGGAAUUCCUAGUGUAGCGGUGAAAUGCGUAGAUAUUAGGAGGAACACCAGGGGCGAAGGCGGCCUGCUGGACGACAACUGACGGUGAGGCGCGAAAGCGUGGGGAGCAAACAGGAUUAGAUACCCUAGUAGUC
rnacentral:rRNA from 1 species